ACUAAGGAUCAAUCCUUCGAGAAGGUCUGCAAGGACUUGAUCCUUAACAGGUGUCUCAUUCUCUUUCUCCCUCUCUCUAUCUCUCCUCUAUCAUCUUCCUCUUGUUCUUCGUCGCCCACUCCUCGCAGCCAAGCCCCAGCCGCAGCAGCUCUCCGUCUGGUCUUCUGCUUCCACCGCAGGAAGUUGUGAUCCAACUAGCCAUCCACUUCUAGAAGGAAGUUGUGAUCCAACUACCCACCAAUAAGGCCACCACACGAUCGCAUAGCGAGAAAGAGAGAGAGACCAUCUUCUUCUAUAUUAACGCUUCUCCUCUAACCCAUUCCUCUCCUACCUCCUCCAUUUAUUAGUUUUCCUCCUUCCCACUCACUCGACUCGGGUCGUGACCAGCUCUUUCGAGAAAUGGCAACGGGACAGCCUUUUCUCGGACGACACAAGCUCUGUUCUACAACUACAAGCAGCUUCCUGUCCAACGAAUGCUCGACUUCAACUUCCUCUGCGGUAAAAAAUCAUCAGAUCACACUGUCUCCCCUACAGCUCGGGAAUGGCGAAAGCUCUCUCCGAGAUGUAAGUUUGUGUAAGUAUUGGGUUGCAGAGGGACUGAUGAAGCUGCAUUUGAGUCUGUAGCAAUAUGUGGUAGCUUCUUCUUCGCAUGUGGUUUGUUUGGAUUUGGUUAGUUGUUGUGCAGCUUCUUCACAGGAUGUAUUCAACGAGUGAUAUGUGUCCAUUUCUGUGGAUAAACAAAACCUUCUUUUUCCUUUAGUUCUUCUCUCCACCUCGUUGUGUUUGGAUUAUGUCAUGACUCUUGUCUCUUUUGUUCAAUGCACUUGUUUUCUUAGAUCAGUGUAAUGCAUUUGAGAUGUGAAUUUUAACAAAAAUAAACUUUUUGUUCUCUUAAGGAUUCCUAAAAAAAAUCCACCAUUGGACUGCUUAUUUUACUAAGAGUCUUUAACUAUUCAAUUGAAAAAAAAAAUACUAAAAUAGUCCCUAAGGAUUCCACAAUGGAAUCCACCAUUGUAGAUGCUCUUAGACACUAGGAUUAGACACAAACGUUUUAUAAAAGCCAACUCAGACUGUAAGCAUCUCUUAGUCUACACCUUUCUUUCCGGUAUCUUUUUGUUUUUAUAUUUUCUCCAUAACAACAGAGAGAGAACUAACGAUGAGAGGAAGUAGAGAAGAAGAGCCAGGGGCAAGAGUUCCACUGCUGGAAAGCCCUAACACGGCCGAACAAGAAGGUGGAGGAUUGAAGAAGAGAGUUUGGGUUGAGACAAAGAAGCUAUGGCAAAUCGUUGGCCCUGCGAUAUUCACUAGAUUAUCGGCAUACUCGAUGCUUGUAAUAACUCAGGCUUUCGCUGGUCAUCUCGGAGAUCUCGAACUAGCCGCAAUAUCCAUCGUUAACAACGUCAUCGUUGGCUUCAACUUCGGCCUCUUUCUUGGGAUGGCGAGUGCGUUGGAAACGCUGUGUGGACAAGCGUUUGGAGCGAAGAAGCAUUACAUGUUAGGAGUUUAUAUGCAACGUUCUUGGAUUGUUCUCUUCUUUUGCUGUCUCUUGUUAUUACCGACUUAUCUUUUCACAACCCCUGUUCUCAAAUUUAUCGGUCAACCAGACGAUAUCGCUGAGCUUUCUGGGGUCGUGUCUUUGUGGGCCAUCCCUCUUCAUUUCGCUUACCCUCUGUCCUUCCCGCUUCAACGUUCCUCCAGUGCCAGCUCAAAAACCACGUGACUGCGUAUGCCGCUGCGGUUUCAUUGGUAGUUCACUUUUUAGUGAGUUGGUUGUUCGUGGAUGGGCUUAAACUCGGAGUCGUUGGGACUAUGGUUACUGUCAGCAUCUCUUGGUGGGUCAACGUUCUUAUUGUAUUAGCUUACACCGUUUGCGGCGGCUGUCCACUCACUUGGACCGGAUUCUCUUCCGAAGCCUUCACCGGGCUUUGGGAGUUUCUCAAACUCUCCGCUUCUUCCGGCGUCAUGCUUUGUUUAGAAAAUUGGUAUUACCGGAUUUUGAUUAUAGUGACUGGGAAUCUUCAGAAUACUCGAAUAGCUGUUGACGCUUUAUCUAUAUGCAUGUCGAUAAAUGGGUGGGAGAUGAUGAUUCCUCUCGCUUUCUUCGCCGGAACCGGUGUACGUGUGGCGAACGAGUUAGGAGCAGGUAAUGGAAAAGGAGCAAAGUUUGCGACGAUUGUAUCAGUGACACAAUCGAUGAUAAUCGGAGUAUUCUUUGGGUUGAUAAUAAUGCUUUUACAUAACCAAAUCGCUUGGAUCUUUUCAUCAAGCGAAGCCGUUUUAACAGCUGUUAAUAAACUCACCGUUCUGUUAACUCUCACCGUUCUUCUUAAUAGCAUUCAACCUGUACUUUCCGGUGUUGCAGUUGGAUCGGGUUGGCAAUCCUACGUGGCAUAUAUAAACUUAGGAUGUUACUAUUGCAUUGGAAUUCCACUUGGAAUUUUAAUGGGUUGGGUUUUUGAAUUCGGCGUCAUGGGUAUUUGGGCUGGUAUGAUAUUUGGAGGAACCGCAGUUCAGACAAUAAUUUUAAGUUUGAUCACAAUGAGAUGUGAAUGGGAAAAAGAGGCGCAGAUUGCACAAGCACGUGUUAACAAAUGGUCCAAAGCAAUAGAAUGAAGAUUUCUCGAAACAUUUCAGCAUAAUUUUCUUAUCUAUUUUUUUUUCCUUAUCUAUGUAUUGUCUUUGUAAACAUUUUGUCAGCAAUUUAUCUAGAACCGGUUCAAGUAUCAUAGAAGCCUUGAGCAGUUAGUGAGU